GUGCUCACUUCCGCAGCACAUGCAGUACACCUGGGACGACACAGAGACGAUCAGCAUGGCCCCUGCGCAAGGACGACACCCAAAUUCACGAAGCCUUCCGUAGUUUU